UACGUAGGCGGAUCAGAAAGUAUAGGGUGAAAUCCCAGGGCUCAACCCUGGAACUGCCUUAUAAACUCCUGGUCUUGAGUUCGAGAGAGGUGAGUGGAAUUCCAAGUGUAGAGGUGAAAUUCGCAGAUAUUUGGAGGAACACCAGUGGCGAAGGCGGCUCACUGGCUCGAUACUGACGCUGAGGUACGAAAGUGUGGGGAGCAAACAGGAUUAGAUACCCUGGUAGUCC
rnacentral:rRNA from 1 species